UGCGUGAGGAUGCAAGCGUUGUGUACCGGGAUUUACUGGGCGUAAAUGCGCGCGCAGGCGGAUCACAUUUAAAGUAAGGUGUGAAAUAUCCCCGGCUCAACCGGGAGGGUGCACUUUUAGACUGAUGAGCGUUGAGGUCGGUAGAGGGGGGGUGGAAUUGCUGGAUGUAGCGGUGAAAUGCGUAGAGAUCAGCAGGAAACACCCCGUGGCGAAAGGCGGCCCCC
rnacentral:rRNA from 1 species